UUGAUUUUCCAACAAAGACUUGAUACCCGAAACUUAAGCGGUUACCAUUGGUUAAUAAAACGAACCGUUUCAAUUGUCUAUGAAGAUCUAAGUAUGAUGAAGGCCAACAAGUAUUACGAAGAGUCAGCUAUUGUAUAGCAAUGCAAUGAAGAAAUAUCCAUGGAUGUAACAACGUAGUAAUAGGAGAACAGAACAAUUUCAGGAAUGAUAUCCCAAUAAUGCCCAAUGGCUCCAAUGACAAAUCUCAAAAGAAAUCAAAUAGCCAAACCCCGGGGAAUCUAAAUAUGAUACUUCAGUGUUGU
rnacentral:sRNA from 2 species